rnacentral:rRNA from 1 species
CACGUAGUUAGCCGUGGCUUCCUCCUCAGGUACCGUCAUUAUCGUCCCUGAAUACAGAGCUUUACAACCCGAAGGCCGUCAUCACUCACGCGGCGUUGCUGCAUCAGGGUUUCCCCCAUUGUGCAAUAUUCCCCACUGCUGCCUCUCGUAGGAGUCUGGGCCGUGUCUCAGUCCCAAUGUGGCCGAUCACCCUCUCAGGUCGGCUACGCAUCGUCGCCUUGGUGAGCCGUUACCUCACCAACUAGCUAAUGCGCCGCGGGCCCAUCUCAUAGCGGAUUGCUCCUUUAAUUGCUACUUCAUGCGAAGCUACAAUCUUAUGCGGUAUUAAUCUCCCUUUCGGAAGGCUAUUCCCCUCUAUGAGGCAGGUUGCCCACGUGUUACUCACCCGUCCGCCGCUAGCUUUGUUCCGAAGAACUCCACUCGCUCGACUUGCAUGUGUUAGGCACGCCGCCAGCGUUCGUCCUGCGCAGAGUCAACUCU